rnacentral:rRNA from 1 species
GACGAACGCUGGCGGCGUGCUUAACACAUGCAAGUCGAACGGAAAGGCCCUGCUUUUGUGGGGUGCUCGAGUGGCGAACGGGUGAGUAACACGUGAGUAACCUGCCCUUGACUUUGGGAUAACUUCAGGAAACUGGGGCUAAUACCGGAUAGGAGCUCCUGCUGCAUGGUGGGGGUUGGAAAGUUUCGGCGGUUGGGGAUGGACUCGCGGCUUAUCAGCUUGUUGGUGGGGUAGUGGCUUACCAAGGCUUUGACGGGUAGCCGGCCUGAGAGGGUGACCGGCCACAUUGGGACUGAGAUACGGCCCAGACUCCUACGGGACGCAGCAGUGGGGAAUAUUGCACAAUGGGCGGAAGCAUGAUGCAGCAACGCCGCGUGCGGGAUGACGGCCUUCGGGUUGUAAACCGCUUUCGCCUGUGACGAAGCGUGAGUGACGGUAAUGGGUAAAGAAGCACCGGCUAACUACGUG